rnacentral:tRNA from 1 species
CAGCUUGUAGUUUAAUCAAAAUAGUAACUUUGGGAGUUUCAGAUCAGAUUUUUCAGGUUCUGCGUGCUG